UACGUAGGGUCCGAGCGUUGUCCGGAAUUAUUGGGCGUAAAGGGCUCGUAGGCGGUUUGUCACGUCGGGCGUGAAAACUCAGGGCUCAACCCUGAGCGUGCGUCCGAUACGGGCAGACUAGAGGUAGGUAGGGGAGAAUGGAAUUCCCGGUGUAGCGGUGAAAUGCGCAGAUAUCAGGAGGAACACCGAUGGCGAAGGCAGGUCUCUGGGCCACUACUGACGCUGAGAAGCGAAAGCAUGGGGAGCGAACAGG
rnacentral:rRNA from 1 species